UACGGAGGAUCCAAGCGUUAUCCGGAAUCACUGGGUUUAAAGGGUGCGUAGGCGGACUUUCAAGUCAGAGGUGAAAGCCCGGGGCUUAACUCCGGAAUUGCCUUUGAUACUGAUAGUCUUGAAUAUAGUUGAGGUGGGCGGAAUGAGUCGUGUAGCGGUGAAAUGCAUAGAUAUGACUCAGAACACCCAUUGCGAAGGCAGCUCACUAAACUAUUAUUGACGCUGAGGCACGAAAGCGUGGGGAGCAAACAGG
rnacentral:misc_RNA from 1 species